AUUGAACGCUGGCGGCAGGCCUAACACAUGCAAGUCGAGCGGAUGAGUGGAGCUUGCUCCAUGAUUCAGCGGCGGACGGGUGAGUAAUGCCUAGGAGUCUGCCUGGUAGUGGGGGACAACGUUUCGAAAGGAACGCUAAUACCGCAUACGUCCUACGGGAGAAAGUGGGGGAUCUUCGGACCUCACGCUAUCAGAUGAGCCUAGGUCGGAUUAGCUAGUUGGUGAGGUAAAGGCUCACCAAGGCGACGAUCCGUAACUGGUCUGAGAGGAUGAUCAGUCACACUGGAACUGAGACACGGGCCAGACUCCUACGGGAGGCAGCAGUGGGGAAUAUUGGACAAUGGGCGAAAGCCUGAUCCAGCCAUGCCGCGUGUGUGAAGAAGGUCUUCGGAUUGUAAAGCACUUUAAGUUGGGAGGAAGGGCAGUAAGUUAAUACCUUGCUGUUUUGACGUUACCAACAGAAUAAGCACCGGCUAACUUCGUGCCAGCAGCCGCCGUAAUAC
rnacentral:rRNA from 1 species